UGACAGUACUGACGCUGAGAUGCGAAGCGUGGGGAGCAAACAGGAUUAGAUACCUGGUAGUCACGCUGUAAACGAUGUCGAUUUGGAGUUUGUUGCCUAGAGUGAUGGGCUCCGGAGCUAACGCGAUAAAUCGACCGCUGGGGAGUACGGCCGCAAGGUUAAAACUCAAAUGAAUUGACGGGGGCCCGCACAAGCGGUGGAGCAUGUGGUUUAAUUCGAUGCAACGCGAAGAACCUUACCUGGUCUUGACAUCCAUAGAAUUCUGCAGAGAUGUGGGAGUGCCUUCGGGAGCUAUGAGACAGGUGCUGCAUGGCUGUCGUCAGCUCGUGUUGUGAAAUGUUGGGUUAAGUCCCGCAACGAGCGCAACCCUUAUUCUUUGUUGCCAGCGAUUUGGUCGGGAACUCAAAGGAGACUGCCGUUGAUAAAGCGGAGGAAGGUGGGGACGACGUCAAGUCAUCAUGGCCCUUACGACCAGGGCUACACACGUGCUACAAUGGCGUAUACAAAGGGAAGCGAAGGUGCGAGCUGGAGCGGAUCUCAUAAAGUACGUCUAAGUUCGGAUUGGAGUCUGCAACUCGACUCCAUGAAGUCGGAAUCGCUAGUAAUCGUAGAUCAGAAUGCUACGGUGAAUACGUUCCCGGGCCUUGUACACACCGCCCAUCACACCAUGGGAGUGGGUUGCACCAGAAGUAGAUAGCUUAACCGCGAGGGGGGCGUUUACCACGGUGUGAUUCAUGACUGGGGUGAAGUCGUAACAAGGUAACCA
rnacentral:rRNA from 1 species